CUGGUUCUAACCAGUUUUCAACGCUUUCUCUUUCCAUGCAAUCCUGAAUGUGUGAGGAAAAUUUUGCAGGGAUACAAGCGAGAAUGUCCUUUCAACCACUGCAUUACUCACAAGCGUGACCAGGCAAGUGAGGGCAAAGCUGGCGAACUCUUUAAAAGCUGGAUGUUCACGUACACCGAACCAGAACUACUAGGUGUCUGUAUGUGUUGCAUGCUGCCAGGAACUUGAUGCCAAAAUCCACUUGGCCAAUAGGUUGUUUUUGUCCUCGGUCAUCAUGAAGUCUGCUCUCAAGACUCUUCCGGUGAAUGAAGAGUUGGCUGUGCAGGUCGUGUGGAUCAGCUUUAGUUUGUUGGAAAAGGCGGUUUAGUCUUUCGAACUCCUGGACGACAGGUGUGGCAAAUUCAGAGUACAGUCGAUUCCUGUCGUCCUGAAGCAUUUCCUUCAUCUGCCUUGCUCUGAAUUUCACGUCCAAUGUAGGUUGGGCAUCUUCACAGGCUGUGAAAUACACACGAAGCUCGUGCCAAUUCACCAAGAUAUUGUACAUCACCUUCCCACACACAAACCACCAAGUCUGUGGUGUUUUUUCAAAGGGGAGGGGGACAGUCCGUGUUGGUGCAAAAUCGGUCGGGACGUUCAUCAUGCUGAACAGCUGCUUAUAAGCCUCCCGUCUCAAGUCACUCUUGGAGAACCAGCGGGGUAUCUCCGCCAGCAUGUGACCAAUGUUCGAGGGGAGCUUUGAUGCGGCAUUCUGGAUGGACAGUGCCAGCGAGUGGCAGAUGCAUCUAAGUUGCAAACAGUUGGGAGAUGCUGUCUUCAGUCUUGACCAGACGGAGUUCUUGCAACUGACCAUGUUCGAGCCACCAUCAGAGGCAAAGCCAAUGCAAUUAGCUAAAUUCUGGCCACAUCUUUUGAUCUCCUCAGAUAUCAAAUUAAAUAUAUUCUCUCCUGUGGCAUCAGCAACUGGGAUCAAGCCAACAAACGCGGUCUGAAUUGUCGUCUUCGUAUCGCUGAACAGAACAUACUUUAUUUCGAUCGUUGACCAGAAACAUUAUCACACACAACAGAACAUAAUUUGCAUAAAAUAUAACAAAACUUAGCCACUGUGUUGGUGUAUUAAUGAUUAAAAUUUGACAAUAAAAUUUUUAAGAGUGA